rnacentral:rRNA from 1 species
UACGUAGGGUGCGAGCGUUGUCCGGAAUUAUUGGGCGUAAAGAGCUCGUAGGCGGUGUGUUACGUCGGCCGUGAAAACCUGCAGCUUAACUGUGGGCGUGCGGUCGAUACGGGCAUCACUGGAGUUCGGCAGGGGAGACUGGGAUUCCUGGUGUAGCGGUGAAAUGCGCAGAUAUCAGGAGGAACACCGGUGGCGAAGGCGGGUCUCUGGGCCGAUACUGACGCUGAGGAGCGAAAGCGUGGGGAGCGAACAGG